rnacentral:rRNA from 1 species
GGGCACGACACCGGAGAGGGAGCCUGAGAAACGGCUACCACAUCCAAGGAUGGCAGCAGGCGCGCAAAUUACCCAAUCCCGACACGGGGAGGUAGUGACAAUAAAUAACAAUACGGGGUUCUUUAGGAUCUCGUAAUUGGAAUGAGUACAAUUUAAAUCUCUUAACGAGGAACAAUUGGAGGGCAAGUCUGGUGCCAGCAGCCGCGGUAAUUCCAGCUCCAAUAGCGUAUAUUAAAGUUGUUGCAGUUAAAAAGCUCGUAGUUGAAUUUCGGGGUUAGUAGGUUGGUCAUGCCUCUGGUAUGUACUGGUCUCACUGAUUCCUCCUUCCUGAUGGGCCGUAAUGCCAUUAAUUUGGUGUUGCGGGGAAUUUGGACUGUUACUUUGAAAAAAUUAGAGUGUUUAAAGCAAGCUAACGCUUGAAUACAUUAGCAUGGAAUAAUGAAAUAGGACGUUCGAUCCUAUUUUGUUGGUUUCUAGGAUUGACGUAAUGAUUAAUAGGGAUAGUUGGGGGCAUUAGUAUUCAAUUGUCAGAGGUGAAAUUCUUGGAUUUAUUGAAGACUAACUGCUGCGAAAGCAUUUGCCAAGGAUGUUUUCAUUAAUCAAGAACGAAAGUUAGGGGAUCGAANACGAUCAGA